rnacentral:rRNA from 1 species
GACGAACGCUGGCGGCGUGCUUAACACAUGCAAGUCGAACGGAAAGGCCCUGCUUUUGUGGGGUGCUCGAGUGGCGAACGGGUGAGUAACACGUGAGUAACCUGCCCUUGACUUUGGGAUAACUUCAGGAAACUGUGGCUAAUACCGGAUAGGAGCUCCUGCUGCAUGGUGGGGGUUGGAAAGUUUCGGCGGUUGGGGAUGGACUCGCGGCUUAUCAGCUUGUUGGUGGGGUAGUGGCUUACCAAGGCUUUGACGGGUAGCCGGCCUGAGAGGGUGACCGGCCACAUUGGGACUGAGAUACGGCCCAGACUCCUACGGGAGGCAGCAGUGGGGAAGAUUGCACAAUGGGCGGAAGCCUGAUGCAGCAACGCCGCGUGCGGGAUGACGGCCUUCGGGUUGGAAACCGCUUUCGCCUGUGACGAAGCGUGAGUGACGGUAAUGGGUAAAGAAGCACCGGCUAACUACGUG